rnacentral:rRNA from 1 species
CCUACGGGAGGCUGCAGUGAGGAAUAUUGGUCAAUGGACGAGAGUCUGAACCAGCCAAGUAGCGUGAAGGAUGACUGCCCUAUGGGUUGUAAACUUCUUUUAUAUGGGAAUAAAAUGUCCCACGCGUGGGAUUUUGUAUGUACCAUAUGAAUAAGGAUCGGCUAACUCCGUGCCAGCAGCCGCGGUAAUACGGAGGAUCCGAGCGUUAUCCGGAUUUAUUGGGUUUAAAGGGAGCGUAGGUGGAUGGUUAAGUCAGUUGUGAAAGUUUGCGGCUCAACCGUAAAAUUGCAGUUGAAACUGGCAGUCUUGAGUGCAGGAGAGGUAUGCGGAAUUCGUGGUGUAGCGGUGAAAUGCUUAGAUAUCACGAAGAACUCCGAUUGCGAAGGCAGUUCACUGGACUGCAACUGACACUGAGGCUCGAAAGUGUGGGUAUCAAACAGGAUUAGAUACCCGUGUAGUC